AAAAUACAUGUUUUAUAUGUAUUUAUGUGUUAUUCCUUCUAUUGGAAAGAAAGAUUGGAUUUUGUCGCGAAUCCGUGGUCGAUCGUGGUGAAACGAAAUCGUAGAUUUGUUGUCUCCAUCGUGCUGAUCGCACUGGUGCAAUCCGUUCGCAAAUCUGACGGACGGAUCUGCGGAGAUUGCGCGUUGAUCGAGGAGAGGUAUGUAAUGGCAAAACGGUAAUUUCGCAAAAGUCGCGAUAUUUUAUGUACCGUUUCGCGUGGGAUCACACGUGGA
rnacentral:lncRNA from 1 species